UAGUAAUUUAAUUGUUAUACUAACAAUUCAAAAAUUACAAAUAGGAGUUCUAAUGUAGAACAGGAAAACCAAAGGAAAACUAAUUCCAAGAGAAAUAAAUUCUCAACAUUAUUAAUACUCAAUUGAAUAACGUCAUAACGAAGGAUGCUCAUUGCUCAAUUUGUAGAGAGCUAGACCUAUUCAUAGUGUUUUUGUAAUCCUAUUAACAUUAGGAUUAGGAACCCUA
rnacentral:misc_RNA from 1 species